GUGGCUUUCAACAGCCACGAGGGACUUUAGAGGACGUUUUUCUGUCCUGGCUUUAUUAUUGACUUGGUGAAAAUUUUGAAUUCAUGUUUUCAAAUAAAAUUUCAAAUUAAGCUUAGAAAAAAAAAUUCAUCACAUUUGCUGCAGUAGUUAUAUCCAAAUUAGUCUCUAGCUCUAUCAUAAAUUUGCUGUUAAAAGCCCGAAGGUUCCGGAAGGGUUAAGCUCUUGUUUUAGUGUUCUUUUGAUGAGUUUGGCUUGUUGUUAUGAAAAGUGUUUGUUUUGGCGAGUUUGAACGUUUUUGAGCAUGUGUAAUGGCAUGAAUGCGUUAAGCUGUUGUUUUAGUGUUCUUUUGAUGAGUUUGGCUUGUUGUUAUGAACAUUGUUCGUUUUGGCCAGUUUGAACGUGUUUUAGCAUGUGUAAUGGCAUGAAUGUGUUGAAUUAGUAAUGCCUUGUGUUAAGCUGUUGUUUUAGUGUUCUUUUGAUGAGUUUGGCUUGUUGUUAUGAACAUUGUUCGUUUUGGCCAGUUUGAACGUGUUUUAGCAUGUGUAAUGGCAUGAAUGUGUUGAAUUAGUAAUCCCUUGUGUUAAGCUGUUGUUUUAGUGUUCUUUUGAUGAGUUUGGCUUGUUGUUAUGAAAAGUGUUCGUUUUGGCCAGUUUGAAGGUUUUUAGCAUGUGUAAUGGUAUGAAUACGUUAAGCUGUUGUUUUAGUGUUCUUUUGAUGAGUUUGGCUUGUUGUUAUGAACAUUGUUCGUUAUGGCCAGUUUGAAGGUUUUUGGGCAUGUGUAAUGGCAUGAAAUUGUUGAAUUAGUAAUCCCUUGUGUUAAGCCGUUGUUUAAGUGUUCUUUUAAUGAGUUUGGCUUGUUGUUAUGAAAAGUGUUUGUUUUGGCAGAUUUGAACGUUUUUGAGCAUGUGUAAUGGCAUGAAUGCGUUAAGCUGUUGUUUUAGUUGUUCUUUUGAUGAGUUUGGCUUGUUGUUAUGAACAUUGUUCGUUUUGGCCAGUUUGAAGGUUUUUUAGCAUGUGUAAUGGUAUGAAUGUGUUGAAUUAGUAAUCCCUUGUGUUAAGCCGUUGUUUUAGUGUUCUUUUGAUGAGUUUGGCUUGUUGUUAUGAAAAGUGUUUGUUUUGGCGAGUUUGAACGUUUUUGAGCAUGUGUAAUGGCAUGAAUGCGUUAAGCUGUUGUUUUAGUGUUCUUAUGAUGACUUUGGCUUGUUGUUAUGAACAUUGUUCGUUUUGGCCAGUUUGAAGGUUUUUUAGCAUGUGUAAUGGCAUGAAUGUGUUGAAUUAGUAAUCCCUUGUGUUAAGCCGUUGUUUUAGUGUUCUUUUAAUGAGUUUGGCUUGUUGUUAUGAAAAGUGUUUGUUUUGGCCAGUUUGAACGUUUUUGAGCAUGUGUAAUGGCAUGAAUGCGUUAAGCUGUUGUUUUAGUGUUCUUUUGAUGAGUUUGGCUUGUUGUUGUGAAAAGAGUUUGUUUUGGCGAGUUUGAACGUUUUUGAGCAUGUGUAAUGGCAUGAAUGUGUUGAAUUAGUAAUCCCUUGUGUUUAGCUGUUGUUUUAGUGUUCUUUUGAUGAGUUUGGCUUCGUUGUUAUGAAAAGUGUUUGUUUUGGCGAGAUUCAACGUUUUUGAGCAUGUGUAAUGGCAUGAAUGCGUUACGCAAUUGUUUUAGUGUUCUUUUGAUGAGUCUGGAUUGUUGUUAUGAAAAGUGUUUGUUUUGGCGAGUUUGAACGUUUUUGAGCAUGUGUAAUGCCAUGAAUGCGUUAAGCUGUUGUUCUAGUGUUCUUUUGAUGAUUUUGGCAUGUUGUUAUGAACAUUGUUCAUUUUGGCGAGUUUGAACGUUUUUUAGCAUGUGUAAUGGCAUGAAUGUGGUGAAUUAGUAAUCCCUUAUGUUAAGCCGUUGUUUUAGUGUUCUUUUGAUGAGUUUGGCUUGUUGUUAUGAAAAGUGUUUGUUUUGGCGAGUUUGAACGUUUUUGAGCAUGUGUAAUGGCAUGAAUGCGUUAAGCUGUUUUUUUAGUGUUCUUUUGAUGAGUUUGGCUUGUUGUUAUGAAAAGUGUUUGUUUUGGCGAGUUUGAACGUUUUUGAGCAUGUGUAAUGGCAUGAAUGCGUUAAGCUGUUGUUUUAGUGUUCUUUUGAUGAGUUUGGCUUGUUGUUAUGAACAUUGUUCGUUUUGGCCAGUUUGAAGUUUUUUUAGCAUGUGUAAUGGCAUGAAUGUGUUGAAUUAGUAAUCCCUUGUGUUAAGCUGUUGUUUUAGUGUUCUUUUGAUGAGUUUGGCUUGUUGUUAUGAAAAGUGUUUGUUUUGGCGAGUUUGAAGGUAUUUUAGCAUGUGUAAUGGCAUGAAUGUGUUGAAUUAGUAAUCCCUUGUGUUAAGCCGUUGUUUUAGUGUUCUUUUGAUGAGUUUGGCUUGUUGUUAUGAAAAGUGUUUGUUUUGGCGAGUAUGAACGUUUUUGAGCAUGUGUAAUGGCAUGAAUGCGUUAAGCUGUUGUUUUAGUGUUCUUUUGAUGAGUUUGGCUUGUUGUUAUGAAAAGUGUUUGUUUUGGCGAGUUUGAACGUUUUUGAGCAUGUGUUAUGGCAUGAAUGCGUUAAGCUGUUGUUUUAGUGUUCUUUUGAUGAGUUUGGCUUGUUGUUAUGAACAUUGUUCGUUUUGGCCAGUUUGAACGUGUUUUAGCAUGUGUAAUGGCAUGAAUGUGUUGAAUUAGUAAUCCCUUGUGUUAAGCUGUUGUUUUAGUGUUCCUUUGAAGAGUUUGGCUUGUUGUUAUGAAAAGUGUUUGUUUUGGCGAGUUUGAACGUUUUUGAGCAUGUGUGAUGGCAUGAAUGCGUUAAGCUGUUGUUUUAGUGUUCUUUUGAUGAGUUUGGCUUGUUGUUAUGAAAAGUGUUUGUUUUGGCGAGUUUGAAGGUUUUUGAGCAUAUGUAAUGGCAUGAAUGCGUUAAGAUGUUGUUUUAGUGUUCUUAUGAUGACUUUGGCUUGUUGUUAUGAACAUUGUUCGUUUUGGCCAGUUUGAAGGUUUUUUAGCAUGUGUAAUGUCAUGAAUGUGUUGAAUUAGUAAUCCCUUGUGUUAAGCCGUUGUUUUAGUGUUCUUUUAAUGAGUUUGGCUUGUUGUUAUGAAAAGUGUUUGUUUUGGCAGAUUUGAACGUUUUUGAGCAUGUGUAAUGGCAUGAAUGCGUUAAGCUGUUGUUUUAGUGUUCUUUUGAUGAGUUUGGCUUGUUGUUAUGAAAAGUGUUUGUUUUGGCGAGUUUGAACGUUUUUGAGCAUGUGUAAUGGCAUGAAUGCGUUAAGCUGUUGUUUUAGUGUUCUUUUGAUGAGUCUGGCUUGUUGUUAUGAAAAGUGUUUGUUUUGGCGUGUUUGAACGUUUUUGAGCAUGUGUAAUGGCAUGAAUGCGUUAAGCUGUUGUUUUAGUGUUCUUUUGAUGAGUUUGGCUUGUUGUUAUGAACAUUGUUCGUUUUCGCCAGUUUGAAGGUUUUUUAGCAUGUGUAAUGGCAUGAAUGUGUUGAAUUAGUAAUCCCUUGUGUAAAGAUGUUGUUUUAGUGUUCUUUUGAUGAGUUUGGCUUGUUGUUAUGAAAACUGUUUGUUUUGGCGAGUUUGAACGUUUUUGAGCAUGUGUAAUGGCAUGAAUGUGUUGAAUUAGUAAUCCCUUGUGUUAAGCUGUUGUUUUAGUGUUCUUUUGAUGAGUUUGGCUCGUUGUUAUGAAAAGUGUUUGUUUUGGCGAGUUUGAACGUUUUUGAGCAUGUGUAAUGGCAUGAAUGCGUUAAGCUGUUGUUUUAGUGUUCUUUUGAUGAGUUUGGCUUGUUGUUAUGAAAAUUGUUUGUUUUGGCGAGUUUGAACGUUUUUGAGCAUGUGUAAUGGCAUGAAUGUGUUGAAUUAGUAAUCCCUUGUGUUAAGCUGUUGUUUUAGUGUUCUUUUGAUGAGUUUGGCUUGUUGUUAUGAAAACUGUUUGUUUUGGCGAGUUUGAACGUUUUUGAGCAUGUGUAAUGGCAUGAAUGCGUUAAGCUGUUGUUUUAGUGUUCUUUUGAUGAGUUUGGCUUGUUGUUAUGAACAUUGUUCGUUUUGGCCAGUUUGAAGGUUUUUAGCAUGUGUAAUGGCAUGAAUGUGUUGAAUUAGUAAUCCCUUGUGUUAAGCUGUUGUUUUAGUGUUCUUUUGAUGAGUUUGGCUUGUUGUUAUGAAAAUGUUUGUUUUGGCGAGUUUGAACGUUUUUGAGCAUGUGUAAUGGCAUGAAUGCGUUAAGCUGUUGUUUUAGUGUUCUUUUGAUGAGUUUGGCUUGUUGUUAUGAAAAGUGUUUGUUUUGGCGAGUUUGAACGUUUUUGAGCAUGUGUAAUGGCAUGAAUGUGUUGAAUUAGUAAUCCCUUGUGUUAAGCUGUUGUUUUAGUGUUCUUUUGAUGAGUUUGGCUUGUUGUUAUGAAAAGUGUUUGUUUUGGCGAGUUUGAACGUUUUUGAGCAUGUGUAAUGGCAUGAAUGCGUUAAGCUGUUGUUUUAGUGUUCUUUUGAUGAGUUUGGCUUGUUGUUAUGAAAACUGUUUGUUUUGGCGAGUUUGAACGUUUUUGAGCAUGUGUAAUGGCAUGAAUGCGUUAAGCUGUUGUUUUAGUGUUGUUUUUGAUGAGUUUGGCUUGUUGUUAUGAAAAGUGUUUGUUUUGGCCAGUUUGAACGUUUUUGAGCAUGUGUAAUGGCAUGAAUGCGUUAAGCUGUUGUUUUAGUGUUCUUUUGAUGAGUUUGGCUUGUUGUUAUGAACAUUGUUCGUUUUCGCCAGUUUGAAAUUUUUUAUCAUGUGUAAUGGCAUGAAUGUGUUGAAUAAGUAAUACCUUGUGUAAAGAUGUUGUUUUAGUGUUCUUUUGAUGAGUUUGGCUUGUUGUUAUGAAAAGUGUUUGUUUUGGCGAGUUUGAACGUUUUUGAGCAUGUGUAAUGGCAUGAAUGCGUUAAGCUGUUGUUUUAGUGUUCUUUUGAUGAGUUUGGCUUGUUGUUAUGAAAAGUGUUUGUUUUGGCGAGUUUGAACGUUUUUGAGCAUAUGUAAUGGCAUGAAUGCGUUAAGCUGUUGUUUUAGUGUUCUUUUGAUGAGUUUGGCUUGUUGUUAUGAACAUUGUUCGUUUUGGAUCAGUUUGAAGGUUUUUUAGCAUGUGUAAUGGCAUGAAUGUGUUGAAUUAGUAAUCCCUUGAUUUAAGCUAGCUGUUGUUUUAGUGUUCUUUUGAUGAGUUUGGCUUGUUGUUAUGAAAAGUGUUUGUUUUGGCGAGUUUGAACGUUUUUGAGCAUGUGUAAUGGCAUGAAUGUGUUGAAUUAGUAAUCACUUGUGUUUAGCUGUUGUUUUAGUGUUCUUUUGAUGAGUUUGGCUUGUUGUUAUGAACAUUGUUCGUUUUGGCCAGUUUGAAGGUUUUUUAGCAUGUGUAAUGGCAUGAAUGUGUUGAAUUAGUAAUCCCUUGUGUUAAGCUAUUGUUUUAGUGUUCUUUUGAUGAGUUUGGCUUGUUGUUAUGAAAAGUGUUUGUUUUGGCGUGUUUGAACGUUUUUGAGCAUGUGUAAUGGCAUGAAUGCGUUAAGCUGUUGUUUUAGUGUUCUUUUGAUGAGUUUGGCUUGUUGUUAUGAACAUUGUUCGUUUUGAUCAGUUUGAAGGUGUUUUUAGCAUGUGUAAUGGCAUGAAUGUGUUGAAUUAGUAAUCCCAUGUGUAAAGCAGUUGUUUUAGUGUUCUUUUGAUGAGUUUGGCUUGUUGUUAUGAACAUUGUUCGUUUUGGCCAGUUUGAACGUGUUUUAGCAUGUGUAAUGGCAUGAAUGUGUUGAAUUAGUAAUCCCUUGUGUUAAGCUGUUGUUUUAGUGUUCUUUUGAUGAGUUUGGCUUGUUGUUAUGAAAAGUGUUCGUUUUGGCCAGUUUGAAGGUUUUUUAGCAUGUGUAAUGGCAUGAAUACGUUAAGCUGUUGUUUUAGUGUUCUUUUGAUGAGUUUGGCUUGUUGUUAUGAACAUUGUUCGUUAUGGCCAGUUUGAAGGUUUUUGAGCAUGUGUAAUGGCAUGAUGAAUUGUUGAAUUAGUAAUCCCUUGUGUUAAGCCGUUGUUUUAGUGUUCUUUUAAUGAGUUUGGCUUGUUGUUAUGAAAAGUGUUUGUUUUGGCAGAUUUGAACGUUUUUGAGCAUGUGUAAUGGCAUGAAUGCGUUAAGCUGUUGUUUUAGUGUUCUUUUGAUGAGUUUGGCUUGUUGUUAUGAACAUUGUUCGUUUUGGCCAGUUUGAAGGUUUUUUAGCAUGUGUAAUGGCAUGAAUGUGUUGAAUUAGUAAUCCCUUGUGUUAAGCCGUUGUUUUAGUGUUCUUUUGAUGAGUUUGGCUUGUUGUUAUGAAAAGUGUUUGUUUUGGCGAGUUUGAACGUUUUUGAGCAUGUGUAAUGGCAUGAAUGCGUUAAGCUGUUGUUUUAGUGUUCUUAUGAUGAGUUUGGCUUGUUGUUAUGAACAUUGUUCGUUUUGGCCAGUUUGAAGGUUUUUUAGCAUGUGUAAUGGCAUGAAUGUGUUGAAUUAGUAAUCCCUUGUGUUAAGCCGUUGUUUUAGUGUUCUUUUGAUGAGUUUGGCUUGUUGUUAUGAAAAGUGUUUGUUUUGGCAGAUUUGAACGUUUUUGAGCAUGUGUAAUGGCAUGAAUGCGUUAAGCUGUUGUUUUAGUGUUCUUUUGAUGAGUUUGGCUUGUUGUUAUGAAAAGAGUUUGUUUUGGCGAGUUUGAACGUUUUUGAGCAUGUGUAAUGGCAUGAAUGUGUUGAAUUAGUAAUCCCUUGUGUUUAGCUGUUGUUUUAGUGUUCUUUUGAUGAGUUUGGCUUGUUGUUAUGAAAAGUGUUUGUUUUGGCGAGUUUGAACGUUUUUGAGCAUGUGUAAUGGCAUGAAUGCGUUAACUGAAUUGUUUUAGUGUUCUUUUGAUGAGUUUGGCUUGUUGUUAUGAAAAGUGUUUGUUUUGGCGAGUUUGAACGUUUUUGAGCAUGUGUAAUGGCAUGAAUGCGUUAAGCUGUUGUUUUAGUGUUCUUUUGAUGAGUUUGGCUUGUUGUUAUGAACAUUGUUCGUUUUGGCGAGUUUGAACGUUUUUUAGCAUGUGUAAUGGCAUGAAUGUGGUGAAUUAGUAAUCCCUUAUGUUAAGCCGUUGUUUUAGUGUUCUUUUGAUGAGUUUGGCUUGUUGUUAUGAAAAGUGUUUGUUUUGGCGAAUUUGAACGUUUUUGAGCAUGUGUAAUGGCAUGAAUGCGUUAAGCUGUUUUUUUAGUGUUCUUUUGAUGAGUUUGGCUUGUUGUUAUGAAAAGUGUUUGUUUUGGCGAGUUUGAACGUUUUUUGAGCAUGUGUAAUGGCAUGAAUGCGUUAAGCUGUUGUUUUAGUGUUCUUUUGAUGAGUUUGGCUUGUUGUUAUGAACAUUGUUCGUUUUGGCCAUUUUGAAGUUUUUUUAGCAUGUGUAAUGGCAUGAAUGUGUUGAAUUAGUAAUCCCUUGUGUUAAGCUGUUGUUUUAGUGUUCUUUUGAUGAGUUUGGCUUGUUGUUAUGAAAAGUGUUUGUUUUGGCGAGUUUGAAGGUAUUUUAGCAUGUGUAAUGGCAUGAAUGUGUUGAAUUAGUAAUCCCUUGUGUUAAGCCGUUGUUUUAGUGUUCUUUUGAUGAGUUUGGCUUGUUGUUAUGAAAAGUGUUUGUUUUGGCGAGUUUGAACGUUUUUGAGCAUGUGUAAUGGCAUGAAUGCGUUAAGCUGUUGUUUUAGUGUUCUUUUGAUGAGUUUGGCUUGUUGUUAUGAAAAGUGUUUGUUUUGGCGAGUUUGAACGUUUUUGAGCAUGUGUAAUGGCAUGAAUGCGUUAAGCUGUUGUUUUAGUGUUCUUUUGAUGAGUUUGGCUUGUUGUUAUGAACAUUGUUCGUUUUGGCCAGUUUGAACGUGUUUUAGCAUGUGUAAUGGCAUGAAUGUGUUGAAUUAGUAAUCCCUUGUGUUAAGCUGUUGUUUUAGUGUUCCUUUGAUGAGUUUGGCUUGUUGUUAUGAAAAGUGUUUGUUUUGGCGAGUUUGAACGUUUUUGAGCAUGUGUGAUGGCAUGAAUGCGUUAAGCUGUUGUUUUAGUGUUCUUUUGAUGAGUUUGGCUUGUUGUUAUGAAAAGUGUUUGUUUUGGCGAGUUUGAAGGUUUUUGAGCAUGUGUAAUGGCAUGAAUGCGUUAAGCUGUUGUUUUAGUGUUCUUAUGAUGACUUUGGCUUGUUGUUAUGAACAUUGUUCGUUUUGGCCAGUUUGAAGGUUUUUUAGCAUGUGUAAUGGUCAUGAAUGUGUUGAAUUAGUAAUCCCUUGUGUUAAGCCGUUGUUUUAGUGUUCUUUUGAUGAGUUUGGCUUGUUGUUAUGAAAAGUGUUUGUUUUGGCAGAUUUGAACGUUUUUGAGCAUGUGUAAUGGCAUGAAUGCGUUAAGCUGUUGUUUUAGUGUUCUUUUGAUGAGUUUGGCUUGUUGUUAUGAAAAGUGUUUGUUUUGGCGAGUUUGAACGUUUUUGAGCAUGUGUAAUGGCAUGAAUGCGUUAAGCUGUUGUUUUAGUGUUCUUUUGAUGAGUCUGGCUUGUUGUUAUGAAAAGUGUUUGUUUUGGCGAGUAUGAACGUUUUUGAGCAUGUGUAAUGGCAUGAAUGCGUUAAGCUGUUGUUUUAGUGUUCUUUUGAUGAGUUUGGCUUGUUGUUAUGAACAUUGUUCGUUUUCGCCAGUUUGAAGGUUUUUUAGCAUGUGUAAUGGCAUGAAUGUGUUGAAUUAGUAAUCCCUUGUGUAAAGAUGUUGUUUUAGUGUUCUUUUGAUGAGUUUGGCUUGUUGUUAUGAAAACUGUUUGUUUGGGCGAGUUUGAACGUUUUUGAGCAUGUGUAAUGGCAUGAAUGUGUUGAAUUAGUAAUCCCUUGUGUUAAGCUGUUGUUUUAGUGUUCUUUUGAUGAGUUUGGCUUGUUGUUAUGAAAAGUGUUUGUUUUGGCGAGUUUGAACGUUUUUGAGCAUGUGUAAUGGCAUGAAUGCGUUAAGCUGUUGUUUUAGUGUUCUUUUGAUGAGUUUGGCUUGUUGUUGUGAAAAGAGUUUGUUUUGGCGAGUUUGAACGUUUUUGAGCAUGUGUAAUGGCAUGAAUGUGUUGAAUUAGUAAUCCCUUGUGUUAAGCUGUUGUUUUAGUGUUCUUUUUAUGAGUCUGGCUUGUUGUUAUGAAAACUGUUUGUUUUGGCGAGUUUGAACGUUUUUGAGCAUGUGUAAUGGCAUGAAUGCGUUAAGCUGUUGUUUUAGUGUUCUUUUGAUGAGUUUGGCUUGUUGUUAUGAACAUUGUUCGUUUUCGCCAGUUUGAAGGUUUUUUAGCAUGUGUAAUGGCAUGAAUGUGUUGAAUUAGUAAUCCCUUGUGUAAAGAUGUUGUUUUAGUGUUCUUUUGAUGAGUUUGGCUUGUUGUUAUGAAAACUGUUUGUUUGGGCGAGUUUGAACGUUUUUGAGCAUGUGUAAUGGCAUGAAUGCGUUAAGCUGUUGUUUUAGUGUUCUUUUGAUGAGUUUGGCUUGUUGUUGUGAAAAGAGUUUGUUUUGGCGAGUUUGAACGUUUUUGAGCAUGUGUAAUGGCAUGAAUGUGUUGAAUUAGUAAUCCCUUGUGUUAAGCUGUUGUUUUAGUUUUCUUUUGAUGAGUUUGGCUCGUUGUUAUGAAAAGUGUUUGUUUUGGCGAGUUUCAACGUUUUUGAGAGCAUGUGUAAUGGCAUGAAUGCGUUAAGCUGUUGUUUUAGUGUUCUUUUGAUGAGUUUGGCUUGUUGUUAUGAAAAGUGUUUGUUUUGGCGAGUUUGAACGUUUUUGAGCAUGUGUAAUGGCAUGAAUGCGUUAAGCUGUUGUUUUAGUGUUCUUUUGAUGAGUUUGGCUUGUUAUGAAAAGAUUUUGUUUUGGCCAGUUUGAACGUUUUUGAGCAUGUGUAAUGGCAUGAAUGCGUUAAGCUGUUGUUUUAGUGUUCUUUUGAUGAGUUUGGCUUGUUGUUACGAACAUUGUUCGUUUUCACCAGUUUGAAGGUUUUUUAGCAUGUGUAAUGGCAUGAAUGUGUUGAAUAAGUAAUCCCUUGUGUAAAGAUGUUGUUUUAGUGUUCUUUUGAUGAGUUUGGCUUGUUGUUAUGAAAAGUGUUUGUUUUGGCGAGUUUGAACGUUUUUGAGCAUAUGUAAUGGCAUGAAUGCUUAAGCUGUUGUUUUAGUGUUCUUUUGAUGAGUUUGGCUUGUUGUUAUGAAAAGUGUUUGUUUUGGCGAGUUUGAACGUUUUUGAGCAUGUGUAAUGGCAUGAAUGCGUUAAGCUGUUGUUUUAGUGUUCUUUUGAUGAGUUUGGCUUGUUGUUAUGAACAUUGUUCGUUUUGAUCAGUUUGAAGGUUUUUUAGCAUGUGUAAUGGCAUGAAUAUGUUGAAUUAGUAAUCCCUUGAUUUAAGCUGUUGUUUUAGUGUUCUUUUGAUGAGUUUGGCUUGUUGUUAUGAAAAGUGUUUGUUUUGGCGAGUUUGAACGUUUUUGAGCAUGUGUAAUGGCAUGAAUGUGUUGAAUUAGUAAUCACUUGUGUUUAGCUGUUGUUUUAGUGUUCUUUUGAUGAGUUUGGCUUGUUGUUAUGAACAUUGUUCGUUUUGGCCAGUUUGAAGGUUUUUUAGCACGUGUAAUGGCAUGAAUGUGUUGAAUUAGUAAUCCCUUGUGUUAAGCUGUUGUUUUAGUGUUCUUUUGAUGAGUUUGGCUUGUUGUUAUGAAAAGUGUUUGUUUUGGCGGUUUGAACGUUUUUGAGCAUGUGUAAUGGCAUGAAUGCGUUAAGCUGUUGUUUUAGUGUUCUUUUGAUGAGUUUGGCUUGUUGUUAUGAACAUUGUUCGUUUUGGCAGUUUGAAGGUUUUUUAGCAUGUGUAAUGGCAUGAAUGUGUUGAAUUAGUAAUCCCUGUGUAAGCGUUGUUUUAGUGUUCUUUUGAUGAGUUUGGCUUGUUGUUAUGAAAAGUGUUUGUUUUGGCGAGUUUGAACGUUUUUGAGCAUGUGUAAUGGCAUGAAAGUGUUGAAUUAGUAAUCCCUUGUGUUAAGCUGUUGUUUUAGUGUUCUUUUGAUGAGUUUGACUUGUUGUUAUGAAAAGUGUUUGUUUUGGCGAGUUUGAACGUUUUUGAGCAUGUGUAAUGGCAUGAAUGUGUUGAAUUAGUAAUCCCUUGUGUUAAGCCGUUGUUUUAGUGUUCUUUUGAUGAGUUUGGCUUGUUGUUAUGAACAUUGUUCGUUUUCGCCAGUUCGAAGGUUUUUUAGCAUGUGUAAUGGCAUGAAUGUGUUGAAUAAGUAAUCCCUUGUGUAAAGAUGUUGUUUUGGUGUUCUUUUGAUGAGUUUGGCUUGUUAUGAAAAGUUUUUGUUUUGGCCAGUUUGAACGUUUUUGAGCAUGUGUAAUAGCAUGAAUGCGUUAAGCUGUUGUUUUAGUGUUCUUUUGAUGAGUUUGGCUUGUUGUUAUGAACUUUGCUCGUUUUGGCCAGUUUGAAGGUUUUUUAGCAUAUGUAAUGGUAUGAAUGUGUUGUAUUAGUAAUCCCUUGUGUUAAGCCGUUGUUUUAGUGUUCUUUUGAUGAGUUUGGCUUGUUGUUAUAAAAAGGGUUUGUUUUGGCGAGUUUGAACGCUUUUGAGCAUGUGUAAUGGCAUGAAUGCGUUAAGCCGUUGUUUUAGUGUUCUUUUGAUGAGUUUGGCUUGUUGUUAUGAACAUUGUUCGUUUUGGCCAGUUUGAAGGUUUUUGAGCAUGUGUAAUGGCAUGGAAGUGUUGAAUUAGUAAUCCCUUGUGUUAAGCUGUUGUUUUAGUGUUCUUUUGAUGAGUUUGGCUUGUUAUGAAAAGUUUUUGUUUUGGCCAGUUUGAACGUUUUUGAGCAUGUGUAAUGGCAUGAAUGCGUUAAGCUGUUGUUUUAGUUUUCUUUUGAUGAGUUUGGCUUGUUGUUAUGAACAUUGUUCGUUUUCGCCAGUUUGAAGGUUUUUUAGCAUGUGUAAUGGCAUGAAUGUGUUGAAAAAGUAAUCCCUUGUGUAAAGAUGUUGUUUUAGUGUUCUUUUGAUGAGUUUGGCUUGUUGUUAUGAAAAGUGUUUGUUUUGGCGAGUUUGAACGUUUUUGAGCAUGUGUAAUGGCAUGAAUGCGUUAAGCCGUUGUUUUAGUGUUCUUUUGAUGAGUUUGGCUUGUUGUUAUGAACAUUGUUCGUUUUGGCCAGUUUGAAGGUUUUUGAGCAUGUGUAAUGGCAUGAAAGUGUUGAAUUAGUAAUCCCUUGUGUUAAGCUGUUGUUUUAGUGUUCUUUUGAUGAGUUUGGCUUGUUGUUAUAAAAAGUGUUUGUUUUGGCGAGUUUGAACGUUUUUGAGCAUGUGUAAUGGCAUGAAUGUGUUGAAUUAGUAACCCCAUGUGUUAAGCCGUUGUUUUAGUGUUCUUUUGAUGAGUUUGGCUUGUUGUUGUGAAAAGUGUUUGUUUUGGCGAGUUUGAACGUUUUUGAGCAUGUGUAAUGGCAUGAAUGCGUUAAGCUGUUGUUUUAGUGUUCUUUUGAUGAGUUUGGCUUGUUAUGAAAAGUUUUUGUUUUGGCCAGUUUGAACGUUUUUGAGCAUGUGUAAUGGCAUGAAUGCGUUAAGCUGUUGUUUUAGUUUUCUUUUGAUGAGUUUGGCUUGUUGUUAUGAACAUUGUUCGUUUUCGCCAGUUCGAAGGUUUUUUAGCAUGUGUAAUGGCAUGAAUGUGUUGAAUAAGUAAUCCCUUGUGUAAAGAUGUUGUUUUAGUGUUCUUUUGAUGAGUUUGGCUUGUUAUGAAAAGUUUUUGUUUUGGCCAGUUUGAACGUUUUUGAGCAUGUGUAAUAGCAUGAAUGCGUUAAGCUGUUGUUUUAGUGUUCUUUUGAUGAGUUUGGCUUGUUGUUAUGAACAUUGUUCGUUUUGGCCAGUUUGAAGGUUUUUUAGCAUAUGUAAUGGUAUGAAUGUGUUGAAUUAGUAAUCCCUUGUCUUAAGCCGUUGUUUUAGUGUUCUUUUGAUGAGUUUGGCUUGUUGUUAUAAAAAGGGUUUGUUUUGGCGAGUUUGAACGCUUUUGAGCAUGUGUAAUGGCAUGAAUGCGUUAAGCCGUUGUUUUAGUGUUCUUUUGAUGAGUUUGGCUUGUUGUUAUGAACAUUGUUCGUUUUGGCCAGUUUGAAGGUUUUUGAGCAUGUGUAAUGGCAUGGAAGUGUUGAAUUAGUAAUCCCUUGUGUUAAGCUGUUGUUUUAGUGUUCUUUUGAUGAGUUUGGCUUGUUAUGAAAAGUUUUUGUUUUGGCCAGUUUGAACGUUUUUGAGCAUGUGUAAUGGCAUGAAUGCGUUAAGCCGUUGUUUUAGUGUUCUUUUGAUGAGUUUGGCUUGUUGUUAUGAACAUUGUUCGUUUUGGCCAGUUUGAAGGUUUUUGAGCAUGUGUAAUGGCAUGAAAGUGUUGAAUUAGUAAUCCCUUGUGUUAAGCUGUUGUUUUAGUGUUCUUUUGAUGAGUUUGGCUUGUUGUUAUAAAAAGUGUUUGUUUUGGCGAGUUUGAACGUUUUUGAGCAUGUGUAAUGGCAUGAAUGUGUUGAAUUAGUAACCCCAUGUGUUAAGCCGUUGUUUUAGUGUUCUUUUGAUGAGUUUGGCUUGUUGUUAUGAAAAGUGUUUGUUUUGGCGAGUUUGAACGUUUUUGAGCAUGUGUAAUGGCAUGAAUGCGUUAAGCUGUUGUUUUAGUGUUCUUUUGAUGAGUUUGGCUUGUUAUGAAAAGUUUUUGUUUUGGCCAGUUUGAACGUUUUUGAGCAUGUGUAAUGGCAUGAAUGCGUUAAGCUGUUGUUUUAGUUUUCUUUUGAUGAGUUUGGCUUGUUGUUAUGAACAUUGUUCGUUUUGGCCAGUUUGAAGGUUUUUUAGCAUGUGUAAUGGCAUGAAUGUGUUGAAUAAGUAAUCCCUUGUGUAAAGAUGUUGUUUUAGUGUUCUUUUGAUGAGUUUGGCUUGUUAUGAAAAGUUUUUGUUUUGGCCAGUUUGAACGUUUUUGAGCAUGUGUAAUAGCAUGAAUGCGUUAAGCUGUUGUUUUAGUGUUCUUUUGAUGAGUUUGGCUUGUUGUUAUGAACAUUGUUCGUUUUGGCCAGUUUGAAGGUUUUUUAGCAUAUGUAAUGGUAUGAAUGUGUUGAAUUAGUAAUCCCUUGUCUUAAGCCGUUGUUUUAGUGUUCUUUUGAUGAGUUUGGCUUGUUGUUAUGAAAAGUGUUUGUUUUGGCGAGUUUGAACGUUUUUGAGCAUGUGUAAUGGCAUGAAUGCGUUAAGCUGUUGUUUUAGUGUUCUUUUGAUGAGUUUGGCUUGUUGUUAUGAACAUUGUUCGUUUUGAUCAGUUUGAAGGUUUUUUAGCAUGUGUAAUGGCAUGAAUAUGUUGAAUUAGUAAUCCCAUGUGUAAAGCCGUUGUUUUAGUGUUCUUUUGAUGAGUUUGGCUUGUUGUUAUGAAAAGUGUUUGUUUUGGUGAGUUUGAACGUUUUUGAGCAUGUGUAAUGGCAUGAAUGCGUUAAGCUGUUGUUUUAGUGUUCUUUUGAUGAGUUUGGCUUGUUGUUAUGAACAUUGUUCGUUUUGGCCAGUUUGAAGGUUUUUUAGCACGUGUAAUGGCAUGAAUGUGUUGAAUUAGUAAUCCCUUGUGUUAACCCUUCCGGGACCUUUAGAUUUUCCUCCCUCUAAAGUCCCUCGUGGCUGUUAAAAGCCACUUUUUCUGUCGGCUGUAAAAUGAUAUUGGAUUAAUAUUUUUUUCAGAUUUUUUUUCACAAAUUUCUUAUUUUACUUCUGCCCUGUUCGAAACUAGCAAAUGUUUCAUUGAAAACAUUUUUUUUAACCCUUUAAGUGCCAAUUUAAGACAAAAAGUCACAAAUUUAGCAAAAAUUGAAGGAAAAUGACCCAUUUUUUUUAUAAGACAUGAUCAGAAACUGGUAAUCUCUUGCAGGGUAUUAAAGUCUUGAAUAUGUCAGAGAUUAGUAAUAUAAUUUACUUAUAUGCAUUUUCAGUUUUUCUGUAGCAUCAGAUUUAAUGAAAACUGCCUUUGGCGCCUCCCAGUGGCCAAAACCACUAUUUCUGCUGUAAAAUCAUAUUGGAUUAAUAUUUUUUUCAGAUUUUUUUUUAUACAUUUCUUAUUUUACUUCUGCCCUGUUCAAAACUAGCAAAUGUUUCAUUGAAAAUAAAAAUUUUAACCCUUUAAGAGCCAAUUUAAGACAUAAAGUCACUUAAAAAGCAAAAAAAUGGAAGGAAAAAGAAGGAAAAUGACCCAUUUUUUAAAUAAAACAUGAUCAAAAACUGGUAAUCUCUUGCAGGGUAUUAAAGUCUUGAAUAUGUCAGAGAUUAGUAAUAUAAUUUACUUAUAUGCAUUUUCAGUUUUUCUGUAGCAUCAGAUUUAAUGAAAAACUGCCUUUGGCGCCUCCGAGUGGCCAAAGCUACUUUGUCUGCUGUAAAAUCAUAUUGGAUUAAUAUUUUUUUCAGAUUUUUUUUCAUACAUUUCUUAUUUUAAUUCUGCCCUGUUCAAAACUAUCAAAUGUUUCAUUAAAAAUAAAAAUUUUAACCCUUUAACGGCCAAUUUAAGACAUAAAGUCUCUUAUGAAGCAAAAAAAUGGAAGGAAAAUGGAAGGAAAAUGACCUCUUUGCUCCAUAAGAGACUUUAUGUCUUAAAUUGGCCCUUAAAAGGUUAAAAUUUUUAUUUUCAAAGAAACAUUUGCUAGUUUUGAACAGGGUAGAAGUAAAAUAAGAGCUGUAUGAAAAGAAAUCUGAAAAAAAUAUUAAUCCAAUAUGAUUUUACAGCAGAAAUAGUGGUUUUGGCCACUGGGAGGCGCCAAACGCAGUUUUUCAUUAAAUCUGAUGCUACAGAAAAACUGAAAAUGCAUAUAAGUAAAUUAUAUUACUAAUCUCUGACAUAUUCAAGACUUUAAUACCCUGCAAGAGAUUACCAGUUUCUGAUCAUGUUUUAUUAAAAAAAUGGGUCAUUUUCCUUCAUUUUCCUUCCAUUUUAUUUGCUUUUUAAGUGACUUUAUGUCUUAAAUUGGCCCUUAAAGGGUUAAAAUUUUUAUUUUCAAUGAAACAUUUGCUAGUUUUGAACAGGGCAGAAUGAAAAUAAGAAAUGUAUGAAAAAAAAUCUGAAAAAAAUAUUAAUGCAAUAUGAUUUUACAGCAGAAAAGGCAGUUUUGGCCACUGGGAGGCGCCAAAGGCACUCUUUCAUCAAAUCUGAUGCUACAGAAAAACUUAAAAUGCAUUGAAUUCAAUUAUAUCACUAAUCGCUGACAUAUUCAAGACUUUAAUACCCUGCAAGAGAUUACCAGUUUCUGAUCAUGUUUUAUUUAAAAAAUGGGUCAUUUUCCUUAAAUUUUUCCUUCCAUUUUUUUUUGCUUUUUAAGUGACUUUAUGUCUUAAAUUGGCCCUUAAAGGGUUAAAAUUUUUAUUUUCAAUGAAACAUUUGCUAGUUUUGAACAGGGCAGAAGUAAAAUAAGAAAUGUAUGAAAAAAAAUCAGAAAAAAAUAUCAAUCCAAUAUGAUUUUACAGCAGACAAAGUAGUUUUGGCCACUGGGAGGCGCCAAAGGCAGUUUUUCAUUAAAUCUGAUGCUACAGAAAAACUGAAAAUGCAUAUAAGUAAAUUAUAUUACUAAUCUCUGACAUAUUCAAGACUUUAAUACCCUGCAAGAGAUUACCAGUUUCUGAUCAUGUUUUAUUAAAAAAAUGGGUCAUUUUCCCUCAAUUUUUGCUAAAUUUGUGACUUUUUGUCUUAAAUUGGCACUUAAAGGGUUAAAAAAACUGUUUUUAAUGAAACAUUUGCUAGUUUCGAACAGGGCAGAAGUAAAAUAAGAGAUUUGUGAAAAAAAAUCAGAAAAAAAUAUUAAUCCAAUAUGAUUUUACAGCCGACAAAACAAGUGGCUUUCAACAGCCACGAGGGACUUUAGAGGACGUUUUUCUGUCCUGGCUUUAUUAUUGACUUGGUGAAAAUUUUGAAUUCAUGUUUUCAAAUAAAAUUUCAAAUUAAGCUUAGAAAAAAAAAUUCAUCACAUUUGCUGCAGUAAAAAAAAAGUUAUAUCCAAAUUAGUCUCUAGCUCUAUCAUAAAUUUGCUGUUAAAAGCCCGAAGGUUCCGGAAGGGU
rnacentral:lncRNA from 1 species